GCCCAGCUAGCUCAGUAGGUAGAGUAUGAGACUCUUAAUCUCAGGGCUGUGGGUUCAAGCCCCAUAAUGGGUG